CUUUAUAAGCACACCGGUCACAGUGGACUAGGCCCAUUCUGAUGACUUCACCUAAACUCGAUCACCUCUCUAAAGACCUUAUCUGCAAAUAAGUCUCCAGAUGGCUUUUACAACGUGUCCCGGGCCGUUAAGGAGGCAGAAAUGAAGCGAUUCCGCUGGUGUCAGAGGAAGAAGCCACCCUAUUCUCCCAGUGUCAGUGACAGCAAAAACGUGGCCCAUCUUUCCCUGGAGCCAUAGGAGCCUUUAUGACAAAACCUGGAGAAGUUCUUGAACUUGGGACUUUAUGGAAGAAGUGAAACGUUAGAUGACUGGACCCAUAUUGGAAAUGAAAACCAUAAUGGCCUGAAAAAAAAACCAAAAACACUACUGUGAAACACAGGGAAAUUAUAAAAUUAACUUCUAUUUUCUACUUGAUUAAAAAACUAGUGAAAACCUUCAAAGAG
rnacentral:lncRNA from 1 species